rnacentral:rRNA from 1 species
UACGUAGGGAGCAAGCGUUGUCCGGAAUUACUGGGCGUAAAGGGUGCGUAGGCGGUAGGCCAAGUCAGAUGUGAAAUUCCCGGGCUUAACUCGGGGGGUGCAUUUGAAACUGGUUUACUUGAGUGCAGGAGAGGAAAGUGGAAUUCCUAGUGUAGCGGUGGAAUGCGUAGAUAUUAGGAGGAACACCAGUGGCGAAGGCGACUUUCUGGACUGUAACUGACGCUGAGGCACGAAAGCGUGGGGAG